rnacentral:rRNA from 1 species
CUAACGGCUGAACCAGCAACUUGGAGGAAGGUAUAGCAUUAGCUAAUUAUAUUUAGUUAAAUAUAAUUUCGACUAUGUCGUAUAAAAUUCUAGCUAGAAUAUGAUGAUGACAUUUUCUAUCUAUGUGUCUUGACCAAAUCUCGUGCCAGCAGUCGCGGUAAGACGAGAAAGACUAGUGUUAUUCAUCUUUAAUAGGUUUAAAGGGUACCUAGGCGGUAUUUCUAGCCAAAAAGGUACAGAUUUACUAGAGUUUAAUAUGUAGGAGGGUAGUAUUUCUGGUGUAGAGAUGAAAUAUUUUAAUACCUUAAGGACUGGUAAAAGCGAAAGCAACCUUAUAUCCAUGUAUAAACUGACGUUGAGGGACGAAGGCUUGGAAAGCAAAAAGGAUUAGAUACCCCAGUAGUCCUUGCAGAAAAUGAUGAAUGUCAUAGAUUAGAUCUAUUUAGUCUAUAAAUGAAAGUGUAAGCAUUCCACCUCAAGAGUAAUGUGGCAACGCAGAAACUGAAAUCAUUAGACCGUUUCUGAAACCAGUAGUGAAGUAUGUUAUUUAAUUCGAUGACCCGCGAAAAACCUUACCACAAUUUGUAUAACAUUUACAAGUGUUGCACGGCUGUCUUCAGUUAAUGUCGUGAGAUUUUGGUUAGUUCCAUAAAAUUAACGUAAACCCUUACUUUUUUUAUUCUUUAUAAUAAAGUAGUACACCGUUAUAUUGGUUAUAUUAAAAGGGAUUAAGACAAGUCAUCAU